ACGGAAGUUAAAUUUAACCACAACCACACCCCUAGAAUUCUUCAGCAGUUGCACUGGGACUGGGCACAACAAUAUUAUGGAGGAGUAGUGGAUGAUGUUGAAUGCCUCCUAGGGCUGAACAGCUCUACUGUACUAUGAGUACCAGGACUUCAGUGAGCAAGGUGCAGGUGCAGGUGCAUGGACGAUGAACAGACUCACAUUGUUACCAAACAACCAUUCACUCGGAUCUAAGAAACAAAGGCAACAAAGUUUGCAGCUCUAAAGCAAGUACUCUUGGGAAAGAAAGUGGAGACAAUAAAAUGUAGUAACAUAAUGUUCAAGAGAUUAUCACGGAUAAAGGCACUAAGACAGGCUAAGGAGAAAUUACUGGAAGAAAACGCUCCUGCUGAGCCCAUCUAUAAUC